rfam:Cavia porcellus supercont2_9 genomic scaffold, whole genome shotgun sequence.
GGGGGUUUAGCUCAGUGGCAUAAGCACCUGCCUUGCAAGCAGGCGGUCGUGAGUUUAAUCCCCG